rnacentral:rRNA from 1 species
GAACGCUGGCGGCAGGCCUAACACAUGCAAGUCGAACGGUAACAGAAAGCAGCUUGCUGCUUUGCUGACGAGUGGCGGACGGGUGAGUAAUGUCUGGGAAACUGCCUGAUGGAGGGGGAUAACUACUGGAAACGGUAGCUAAUACCGCAUAACGUCGCAAGACCAAAGAGGGGGACCUUCGGGCCUCUUGCCAUCGGAUGUGCCCAGAUGGGAUUAGCUUGUUGGUGGGGUAACGGCUCACCAAGGCGACGAUCUCUAGCUGGUCUGAGAGGAUGACCAGCCACACUGGAACUGAGACACGGUCCAGACUCCUACGGGAGGCAGCAGUGGGGAAUAUUGCACAAUGGGCGCAAGCCUGAUGCAGCCAUGCCGCGUGUAUGAAGAAGGCCUUCGGGUUGUAAAGUACUUUCAGCGGGGAGGAAGGGAGUAAAGUUAAUACCUUUGCUCAUUGACGUUACCCGCAGAAGAAGCACCGGCUAACUCCGUGCCAGCAGCCGCGGUAAUACGGAGGGUGC